CCCACGGCUUACGCCGUGGGCUAAAUUCUAUCGCCCCGAUGGGGCU
rnacentral:sRNA from 1 species